UCCUUGUUCCUCCCAGAAAGAGAGAGAGAGGGAGAGUGAGUGUGACGGCACGCAGCGUGCCGAAGUGGAUGAUGGACAGCUCGGUUUGGUCCUGCCUGGACAAGCGCCGCCAAGUCAAAGCGGCCUCCCGCCCUCGCCAAACUGCCUGGACGAUCACCGCCAGUCUAAGCGGCCUACCGCCCCGCCAAGCAGCCCAGCGCCGGCGAAUCUCCAACCCUAAUCCCGUUCGCCCUGUUCCGCCUCCCAGGGCAGCACAGGUGGCGGAACCGCCACCGCCGACGCCAAGUCCCUUUCCUCCUCCUGCUCCUGCUCCUCCUUCUCUCAUUCCCCUUCUAUUCCUCCUUCCGCCCUUCUUCCUUCCUUCCCAGACUGAUGGACCACCUGACUUGCAGGGUCCUGCGUCUCCCGCGCCCGACGAUGCACCUCGCAGAUCUUGAUUUCUCGCCGAGUUGUCGAAGAGGGUUAUCGAUUUGACGGAGUUGAGGAAGCUGGCGGCGCAGGGGGUGCCUGAUUCUUGCGGAAUUCGGUCAAUUGUGUGGAAGUAAUAGGUUCUUUUGGGGUAUUGGCCGUGCAAUCCAGAAAUUUGACCAGAUGAAAUGAGGGAAAAAAGGCUCGGUACGACGCCUAAGGAGCAGCUGCUGAUUAAUCCUGCAGUCAGAAGACUCAGAACUUACAAGAAGACUAUGACUAUCCUCUGGCACCGAAAACGACAAUGCAAAGAGUGAAGGAAGGGAUCUGCUGCAUAGGUCGGAGGACACUCAUGGCGAACACCCUUUGAGUCUUGGAAAAACUAGUCUCAACAACUCCAAUCCUACCACCGACCAGUACCAGAAGAAACUCGAGCGUUAGAUGGUGAACGGUGAGUGCAUGUCUCUCUUGGUUUUAUUCCGCAUCAAGCUGCAGUUGGGGAUCCCCUGUUCUCCCUCUUGCUAGAUUGUUUUCUUUUCUGUUCCGUUUUUUGCACCAUUUUCUAGCAUUUCUUUGCUGUUUAUUUUUGCACCAUUAUGUAACAUUUGCAUCAUUUGGAUUGGGUUUUGGGACACAUUACUGUAAAGUGUUGAGCUUGGAUCAAACAGUCCCAUUUUCUUUAUAUUCUUUACAUUCUCUGUUGUGUUUUCGACAGUUACAGAUCAAUACAGUCUCAUUGUCUUAUAUAGUCGUGUUUUUCUUUCUUUAUAGAAACUGUAACACCGCGCUCUCCUGCAUCGUUUUUUACACUAGAAGUAUUAUGCUACAUAAAGAAUGAACGGCAGUGGGUGUCAAAUGUGACAUGGGAGAACAUAAUGGACCAUUUGUGUGAUGGUUUACGAACCAGUGUUUCUGAUAAUUAAUUGUUUGGAAGUAUAGCUAUUACGUUUUCUCAUUAAUCUAGGAAUACAAUUAACAUCAAGAUGUAUAUGACUCUGGGUAACUCUGUAGUUGUGUUUUCUGUAAUUGCUUAACCUAUAUGAAGAAGAUAAGUAUCUUCCCCAAGCAUCCGGUAGUAUCUAAACCAUUCUUUAGUAUAUAAAUGUUCGGAGCCUUCUCCAUAAGAAGACAUGCUUCAAUAUUCACUACCACAAAGGUGUCUUCUGGAAACCUCUGUUGACGUGCUUUUUGAGAAGAUGCUGCAUCAUUCUGUGAUCCUGCUUUGUGCCUGACACUUUAAAUCAUCCAUGCAUGUGAAAUCAUGUACACAUGUGUCUUAGUGUUUCAGUUACCCUUCUGUGUUAUUAUUGGGUAUGCAGCUAGAUUUCAAGCUCCACUCUAUCUCACUCCUUCGUUUUGGGGCUGUAUUCUAUUUCUCAGGACUUCAGGGGUCUUUGAAGUAGUGUGAUGUGAUAAACAAGGAUUUUCUGUGAUGCAAAAAUGUGUAGUUGAGUUCAUGUUUAUUUGCUGCUACUUGAGGUAGGACAGUUAUUACUGGGAUGGAUGUGACUCAUGGAAAGCUGCUGUAUUUAUGGUUACUUUGUCUUCAGACAUCUUGUUUUCAAUGGGUAUGGUCAUGGUGGGUGCAAUAGCAAGUACAAGGAAAUCUAUCUCUUGCUGCAUUUUAGCGGUGUUGUCUGUGCUGAACUUAAUUUUUCGUGAAGUGUGAAAUUGAUCUCCCUAACUGACAUGGAAAAAAGUAAUAUAGCGAGAGGCUCCUUUUCAGAGAAGAACAUGGGUGCAUGUGCAACAAGGAUAUAUAUAUAUAUACACACACACACACACACUCACACGCUCACAUGCAACUAACAAGCUAUGAGUCUACCAAUCGUUUAACUCAAACAGAAAAAAAAAAAAAAUGGCCAUUGCCGCACCCAAGCUGCAUUAUGGCAAUACUUCUGAAGAGUCUGUAUGUCUUAGAGGAGGUCCAAAUGGGGCAUCAAAGGUCAGGACUAAAGCAGAUUUCUGAUGGUAUGCCAACAAUAAAUGUCGAACUUACAAGAGAACCUUUUCCUAUUAGCAGCUGGCAGUUUGUCUCUUAUUAAAUUCAUAAAUAAUCAAUUUACGGAACCAUGGCUAAAGACGGGCUUUUCUAACUAGCCGUUCCAUUUCUUCUUCCAAAUUGGUGUAUUUUUUAAGGUUCGUUUGCCAAACUGGUUAUUUAAGCAAUUAAGGUAUGAUAUAUGAUUUAUGUAGGGAGUGAAGGUCCCUGUUUCAUACAGGUCAAGGUUGUAGUUCCUUGACGUUUGUGGUCUGCUGAUGUCCAAGCUGUGCAGUUCGAGGGGUGUGGUGUUGGCUCGGAUGCACCUGUCUGAAACUCCUUACCAGAUUCAACCUGUCUGAUGAUACUGUUGACCACAGAAACUUGGGCUCAUGUUCUGCGGAUGCAUUGACAGGUAAAAAGUUCAGAAAAGUUCCAUAAAAAAAAAUGGCUUCUUCAAUCUUCAAAACUGCACAGGGAUGGAGCGGGUUGCCGGAAGAUGAUAACCAAGGCUUAAGCUGAGGUGGCAAAGUAUCAGAAGCUUACUGGUAAAAAGCUUGUAGUGGCAUGGUGAGUGCUGAAUCCGGACCAGCAAAAUGAAGAUCCAGGCUUUCUGCUGAGCCAUCUUUACCUGCUUUCUCUAACGUGCUUUUAAAAAUUUGAACAGAAUCAAUUUCAAAAAGUUUUUAUAUUAAAUCUGUAUCAUGAUCACUUAGAUGAGAUUGAAAAGGUAGUUGAUGUUUAACUUCAACCUAGAGCUCAUUGCAGCAGGUUUAUCUAUUUAACUAAUUACAGUAUUGGAUCCUCGUGGAGAAGAUGAACUCAUUGUAGUCAUAUUUUUGCUGUUAUACCUGUCUCAAAUAAUUUUUCUCUCUCAUUCUUUC